rnacentral:rRNA from 1 species
AUACGGAGGAUCUGAGCGUUAUCCGGAUUUAUUGGGUUUAAAGGGUGCGCAGGCGGCCAUUUAAGUCAGCGGUUAAAUCGUGGGGCUCAACCCCAUUCUGCCGUUGAUACUGGGUGGCUUGAUUGCGGUCGAGGUUGGCGGAAUUCGUUGUGUAGCGGUGAAAUGCAUAGAUAUGACGAAGAACACCGAUUGCGUAGGCAGCUGACCAGACCGCAAAUGACGCUCAUGCACGAAAGUGCGGGGAUCGAACAGGAUUAGAUACCCUGGUAGUCCGCACAGUAAACGAUGAAUACUUGUUUUCGGCGAUAUAAUGUCGGAGGCAAAGCGAAAGCGAUAAGUAUUCCACCUGGGGAGUACGCCGGCAACGGUGAAACUCAAAGGAAUUGACGGGG